GUAGUAAAUUAUAAAGAAGUGCACAGAGUACUUUUUCUACUUUAAUAUCAGCAAACAUAGUUUUCCGAUACACGCUAAACGUCUGCAGAUAAGAUGGACUGAAGAUUGGAAUAUCCCAAUUGGGAUUUUACAAAAUGGUUUGCUUAUCGACCUUGUGUUGAAUCAUGAUUUCACGGUGAGGAAACCUUUGACUCGGAUUCGGGAAUUCAUGUGGUUAUGGUGUGUAACACAGCUUCGCUACCCUGAAAGCGAGUGCAGGCUAUACUCGAGCCAAAAAUCCAAGCGCAGUGGGCGUGUCUCACCCUAUUGUCAGGAUGCAUUUAUGACCCCCAUCACGUCAUCUGUGCUGCAGAAUCGUCGCUGUCGACGGGCAUGUCGCUUGUGUGGAGCCUGCAGUGCUGGCGUGUGAGGCACGAUGGGUCAGAGCAAAUCUUGGGACUGCGUUCAAUGUUUUGGGUUUUUGAGGUGAUCGAGGGUGAUGAAUUGGACGAUAUUGCAAUGUUUGUGGACUCUGGACUGUACAGCAUUAGGCUGUGAAAGCGCAAACUUGUUUCUGAAGCUGUAGUGUUCCCUUUCCUCUAGCUUUCCUUGUCAAUUAACUUCUCGAAUUCCGAGAAGGAGGACAGUUCUUCCGCGACCAGGAUUAUAUCAGCCCUGGGGCUGGUAGAGGGCAUAUCGAAGAGCUAUCACAUCACAUAACUUCGUUCCUUCAGAUGUUCGGAGCAUUCUCGGAAGCUUGUUGCACCAGUGGACACCCAAUUGGAGGAGCUCCUCUUCUGCAUUCAAUGAAGGUUCCGAUUUCCUUCUCUCGAACUGAUCACCGCAUUUCAUCACUCACAAUGAAAGGAAGUUACUAAAAACACGAAUCUUUUGUUAGAGGAUGGUGCUCUUUGAAUUGGUAGGGUUGGGAUUUGGUACCCAAAGUGACGGUGCAAUAUCACCUUUUUUUGUUGGAAAAGAUGGGUCCUUUAGGUCGGCGUUUUGAACACCUUGUCCCCAUCGGUGAAGAUCAAGAAGUUAGAAUCAUGUGCUCAUAGUGAGCAGCAAUGCAAUUGAAUGAAGCUGAUGAAAUUUAUAAUUGAAUUCAGAAAUGGUGGAUUGUGUCAAAUGUGAUACGGUGUGACUAUACACACUUUGUUAUUUUUUUCUAGACAUAAUGUCCCACAAAGAAAGAGAUAGUUCGUUCAAUAGAUGGACAUCUUGGGAGUCCCAGCAAGAUACUGUAUUUUACAAUAGUUGAGGUUGCAUUGUGGUUUGAUUAAACAAGAAAAAGAUAUUGAUUAGGGCUAUUUAAUCCCUAGUUUAAAAUUUUGACGAAUAAUAAGAAUAUAAUUAAAUAAAUCUUUCUACCA